GGGGGCUUAGCUCAGUUGGCUAGAGCGUUUGGCUGGCAGCCAAAAGGUCAGGGGUUUUCGACUCCCCUAGCCUCCA
rnacentral:tRNA from 1 species